UGGGGAAUUUUGCACAAUGGGGGAAACCCUGAUGCAGCGACGCCGCGUGAUUUAGAAGGCCUUCGGGUUGUAAAAAUCUUUUCUAUGGGAAGAAAAUGACAGUACCAUAGGAAUAAGGACCGGCUAAUUACGUGCCAGCAGCCGCGGUAAUACGUAAGGUCCGAGCGUUGUCCGGAAUCAUUGGGCGUAAAGGGUACGUAGGCGGGUAAGCAAGUUAGAAGUGAAAUCCUAUAGCUCAACUAUAGUAAGCUUUUAAAACUGCUCAUCUUGAGGUAUGGAAGGGAAAGUGGAAUUCCUAGUGUAGCGGUGAAAUGCGCAGAUAUUAGGCGGGAUGCCGGUGGCGAAGGCGACUUUCUGGCCAUAACCUGACGCUGAGGUACGAAAGCGUGGGUAGCAAACAGG
rnacentral:rRNA from 1 species